AAAAAGGUGCUUUGCAUGGGUGUUGCCGUUGGCCACCUGGGUAUGGAGGAGAAGCAGAUCUUCCAGAACGUGCAGAUGAGCGUCAACUUCCUCGUCUCUCUGUUGAAGAAGAAUUGGCAAAACGUAUGUCAUGUGCCCUCUGAAUAUUUUCAUGAACAUUUGGCUAUUGAUUGAUUGUUAUAUGUUAAAAUAGAGUACUGAUUGUUCUGUAUUGUUGCAGGUGAGAUGCUUGUACCUGAAGAGCACGAUGGGAAAGGUGUACCGGUUGUUCUAGGCUCUAGUCUUCUAGGAUUUCCAGGAGAUUGACAACUUGGAACUUUUGUUGCUUUCUCAAUUAUCAAAUUUUCGUGCGCGACGAGUGACAAUUAUUGUCUUGUACCGAGAUGGUUUGUUCUAUUGUCUGGAACUUGAUGACAUUUUAUCCGUUGUCCCUGUGCCUUCCUACUGCUCUGCCUGCUGUCAGUCAUCAGCUUAACGCUAGGUUCAGCAUUGGUCCAUUGGUAUUUACGACCGUCAGAAUCUUAUUUUACCGUGUGUCCGUUGGUGGAAUCUCGGUGUAUCCGUGCUGCCUGCUGGGAGCCUUGGAGCAUCCCAGUCGUUUCUUUGGAGUCUGCACGGACGAGUUUUGUCUUUCGUUCUCACUUCUCACCCAUUUCUCUGGAUUGUAUCGCCGUUUGCCCAUCUGGGACUGAAGUUACUGUUCAAGGUGGCAUUUACUAAUUUUAUAUUUCAGUUUCAAGCGCAGAUAACUCCGUGGCCACUAACCACAAAACGGCUAUAAAAACCACAGCCAUCCCGACUCAAAAAACACAACGUCACUAGCUACUGAUCCCAGCCAUGGCAAGCCGAGCUCUCACCCCCUUCCAGUUCGCCGCCAUCCUCCUGGUGGCGCUCUUCGGCAAGUGCAAUGCUGGCAGCAUCGCUGUGUACUGGGGCCAGAACGACGGCGAGGUGUCACUGGCUAAGACAUGCGCGUCAGGUAACUACAAGUUCGUCGUCGUUGCUUUCCUCCCCAAGUUCGGCAAGGGCCAGAAGCCGGAGCUGAACCUCGCCGGCCACUGCGACCCUUCAUCUGGCGGCUGCAAAAGCCUGAGCAAGGACAUCCACUCGUGCCAGCGCCGCGGCGUCAAGGUCCUCCUCUCCCUUGGCGGUGCGGACGGCAGCUACGGCCUCUCGUCCCGCGGCGAUGCACGACAGGUUGCCAUGUACCUCUGGAACACCUUCCUGGGCGGCACGAGCUCGUCGUCUCGUCCCCUCGGGGACGCUGUGCUCGACGGCAUCGACUUCGACAUCGAGAAAGGCGGCUCCAAGUUCUGGGGUGACCUCGCCAGGGACCUCAAGAACUUGGACAAGGGCGUGCUGCUGAGCGCGGCGCCACAGUGCCCUUUCCCCGACCAAUGGGACGACGGCGCGAUCAGGACGGGGCUGUUCGACUUCGUGUGGGUGCAGUUCUACAACAACCCGGAGUGCCAGAUCAGCGCGGGCCGUGGAGCAUUCUUGGCCGCGUGGAAGAGAUGGGAGUCAUUGCCGAUAGGGAAGCUCUUCCUGGGGCUGCCGGCUUCCAAGGACGCGGCGGGCACCGGGUUCGUGCCCGCCGGCAAGCUCAAGUCGGUACUGCCGCUCAUCAAGGGCACGCCCAAGUACGGCGGCGUCAUGCUGUGGGCCAAGUUCUAUGACGACCGCACUGGAUACAGCUCCGCCAUCAAGAGCCACGUCUGAUUCUCCCUGGUGUUUCUUCGCUUCAUUGGUACUCAUGUGUUAAGUGUUUGAGAUAACUCCGUAUUGGUAGCGACUAUGUCCCAAUAUGCAAGGAUCACGGUGUAGUUUCUUUGAAGCCAUGUCCCAAUCACAUCAAAUUUGGAACUCUACAUAUUACAUUGUAAACUACAUCGUUGAUAUUUCUAUAUAAAAUAAAAGUAUAAUUAUUGGUCAAUGAACUAUAGCUCGAGUUCAGCAUCGAUCCUAAAUUUGUUUUUUUUUUAAAUUGCAUCGAUCUUAAAUUUGAAUACCACUAACUUUUUUGAGGGAAUGCCAUCAUGGCGCACUUUAUUAAUUUGGCAAAAUAGUUACAUCAUUAACCAGAGUAUUAAUCAGGAACCCUGGGGGUUCAUCGACCCACGUACAAGAUUCAUUUCUAUCAUAAGCAAACUAACUGACAGCAUAACAUCUCAAUAUUUUAGACAGGACAACUUUGGGCCUCUCCUGCCUAGAAGCAGUUUGAUAGGUGACGUGGCAGUGGUUUCACAUAAGUGGCACAAACUAAACAUUUUCUCAAUACAUCACAACAAUGGUUAAAUAAGGAAAACCGGAUAAAGGAAUUAAAAUAAUAAUGACAUAUUCAAAUUGCAAAGAUAAUCUGUCAAUAAAAAAUUAAGUAGGGGAGAAAACAAGUUUAGGAGUAUUCACGAAAUCUUAGGAAUUAUUUGUGAGCACUCUCUAUUUUUUCUGGGUUUUCCCUCAUACUUAUGAUUUUAUUUUCUUUUUAAUUUCCUUGUUGUAUACCACAUAUGGUGUUCCUAUUUUUUUUCAUUUGUAUUAUAAUUUUACUUAUAUUUUUCUACUCCCUCCAUAUCGUAAUAAGUGAUAUUUUGGGUUUGACGACUAACUUUGAAUGUAACAUAUGUAUAAACAACAUAAAAAUAUAAGAUUUUAGAAAUAUUUUUGAGACAAAUCUAUACUAUGGUAUUUGCAACUUGGAAAAAUUAAAAUGAUACUCAUGGACAAAGUAUAUUUUUGUGACUGAAGGUAUUGCCCAAAACGUCACUUAUUUGUGAUACGGACGGAGUAAUUCUUCUUUUUUUAAUUUCAUCCAAACAUAUUCUUGACUUUACUACUACGUUUACGAAAUCACUUCAAUAUCAUCCAUUAAACCGGCUCGGGUCGGAAGAGGGCCCAAAGCUUUUUAGUUUAAAAGGUGGAGGUGUCAUGUAUUUUGGCAUUGAAGUUGCGGAACCUGUAUUUUUGGAUCAUAACCAAUGAACCAAAACAAAAUGCACGUGUCCAUCAAAUUGACUAGGUGAAAGGCAUUUUCCACUCAUGGAUUGAGAUGGAUUGCAUUAAGGAAUGCUUGACGCACAUCGUCCAUGAAAGAAGAAUGGGAAAAGAAGUCAUGAUGUCAUUGACCAUGCUUUGCUCUUGAGAAAUUUGAAACAAAUGUACCGCGAGAGUCUUCCGCAACAUCCCUACGCUCCACACCUUGUUUUACCUUGCAAUAAAAUUGAGACAAGAAAUUGGGUUUUCUCCGCCGCUACACACUUGAGGUCAUAUUUGGAGGGAGAGCAGACUUCUAUCGUUUCAUGUUGUACUAUACUCUUUCUUAUCAAAUGAAUGAAGGCUAAUUUUUGCCCCCGCUUAAUAUUCUUCUCCCACAAAACUACCGGAACCGACCUAAAAAAGGAAGGAGUCGUUCCUACCUUGCAAGUAUACAGGUCUCUAAGGCGAGGCUGGGUUGUUAGGGCUUCAAUUUAACUAACGGAAUACGUGGAAUAUGCCAUCAAAAGUUUAACUUCAGAAAAAUUCAUCCGAUGAUGAAUCAUAUAUUUUUCUAGUGAUAUAUAAACACAUUUUACUAGUCAAAUUGAGGACCUUAAACCUGUACCUGCCUUAUAAACCCUAAUUGAAGGAGUAUUUGAAAUUAAGCAAUACAUGUAGUUUUGUGAGGUUGUGGAUCUGCAUGAGUACUGAAAAUCACCAAAUUCAGUAGAAACAUUUAAUAUUCCUUUGUUUAGAAGCAUUAACCAUAGUUGAGGUAGCUUCAAGCCGCAAAUUGUUGUGCCACAAUAAACUAUCAAUACAAGUAUGAGAGCAUCUACAACGGGACCCUCAUACCCACUCCAAACAUCCAGAUGGGCUGCUCGGUUAGUCUCCUGACGGAAAAAUGCCAUCUAACCGGGCUCCCCAUAUCCGGCCUAAACGCCCGUACUGACCGGUACUCUCCAUACCUGGCCCAUACCUGGAGCAGCUAUGGGGACGCCUGGAGCGGGUGCCACGUCAGAUCGGUCGACUAGGGCCCGCGCUGCUCCCAUCAAUGCCCCCACAGAUACCCCACUAUAUCGGACAAACCCUAGUUAAACCCUAUCUUUCUCAGUCUGCACCCGUCUUCUCCGCUUCCUCCCAAAUCCACCUCUUCCACCAUGGCCAACUCCGGUCAGGACUUCAACAACGAGCCCGAUCCAUGGACUGGGACGGUCCCGUGAAGGAGGAGGAUGACAGAUCUAGCAUUGCACCAGAUGAGGAGGAGCUCGCGCUCCGCAUCGCCAUCCAGCUCUCGCGCGUGGACACCGAUGGGAGCUCGAGCUCCGUGGCACCCGACGUGAGCUCCUCCACCUUCCGCCAGCGGAAUGCGGGUCAUGGUUGUCCGUCCCGCUUCGCGUCGCUCCAGAUCUGGAGCGCGGGCAUCUCCCCUUCCCCUCCGGCGCCAACAUCACCGGACAGCGGUGGGAGCUCGUGCCUGUGGCUCCCGUGCGGAUGCCCAUGCCAGAGUCGAAGGCGAAGGCGGCCCGGCAGCGGGCGGUGGCCGCAGUAGAGUCCGACUCUUCCCGCCAGCGAGCGCGCUCCGUGAGGUCAUACGACGGUCGCUAACCGCAGCAGAGUCUGACACACGGCGCCUCCGACGCAAGAAUGCAGAGGCGCUCCACCUCGGGCUCGAGGCAUCCGAGCGCCUUGCGCGGGAGAAUGAGACCGCUGCCGCCAAGGCCGUGCACCACGUGAAGGAGCAGCAGCGCCUCCUCCGCCUUCUCUCUGGCUACAUUUCGUCUGCAUCGGAGAGCAGCACCACCACAGACGACGACGACUCUCCCGCCUUCGAUGCGUACAGGGAGGAGAUGGACCGCCGCGCGGCUGACCGCAAGGGCAAGGGCCCGACCAAGCGGUGAACUCUGGCCGACUCCGCCUCUGCAUUUUAUCCAGUUAUAUUUUCUUUGUAUUAUAAGUCCAACGAACUAUGUCUUUUCGGGUCAGAUGCAAUAUGUCCUAUUACCCAUGUGGAGAAAUUUAUCGUUCCAUGUUGAUCUACAUUAAUUUUGUUUAUGUGCGGGCAAAUGACUACUACAGUUGUGGAUAGAGAAAAAUGGACACUGCCCGGUCACUGUCAACGGACAUGUCCGAACACGUCCAUGGGUGUUUGGGGGACUGUUUUUGCGAGUUGUGAUUGUAGAUGCUCUAAGACUGCAUAUGUGCUCUGCCUGGUACUCUGGAGUAGAAAACAGAGGAGAGGGCUCAGCUUUUAUUGCACGUCUUGUUGAUGUUUUGGUCCAGCACGGUAGGGCGUUUGUGAUCUGAACGCACUCUGAUUUAUCAACCAUUGAUCAGUACGAGUAAAUUACGAGAAGAGAUUACCGACCGCAAACGGAACACAAAACAUUGCCGGUAAAUUGGUACUCUGCAAAGCCCAAUUUAGACGCAGGAGCGGACAAGCGACUGCAGGAAAGUCACUAAAAAAGCCUCCAUGACGCUCCAUCAAGACACUAAAAAUCCAAACAUACCCGACAUCCAUCAUCAGAACUAAAAAUACAAAGUGCACCUCCUCACCAGUCUCUAGUCUCUACUCCUUCCUGUACGAGCUAGCUAGCCAGGUACGCUCCACUUGACCCCAGCCAUGGCAAGCCGAGCUCUCACUCUCCUCCAGCUUACCGCCACCCUCCUUGUGGCGCUACUCGCGACUUGCCAUGCCGGCAGCAUUGCCGUCUAUUGGGGCCAGAACGACGGUGAGGCGUCGCUGGCCGAGACAUGCGCGUCCGGAAAUUAUGAGUUUGUCAUCCUGGCUUUCCUCCCCAAGUUCGGUAAGGGCCAGACGCCGCAGCUGGACCUCGGCAGCCACUGCGACGCCUCGUCGGGCGGCUGCAAAAGCCAGAGCAAGGACAUCCACUCAUGCCAGCGCGGCGGUGUCAAGGUCCUCCUCUCUAUCGGCGGCGGAGACGGCAGCUACGGCCUCUCAUCACCCGGUGAUGCACGGCAGGUUGCCAUGUACCUCUGGAACAACUACCUGGGCGGCACGUCAUCGUUCCGUCCUCUCGGCGACGCCGUACUCGACGGCAUCGACUUCGACAUCGAGCUUGGUGGUGCCAAGUUCUGGAACGAUCUCGCUACGGACCUGAAGAACUUAGGAAAGAAGGGAGACAAAACCGUCCUGCUGAGCGCGGCACCGCAAUGCCCGUUCCCGGACGAGUGGGACGGCAAUGCAAUCAACACGGGGCUCUUCGACUUCGUAUGGGUGCAGUUCUACAACAACCCGGAGUGUCAGUUCAGCGCGGGGCGUGGAGCGUUCAUGGAAGCAUGGAAAAGAUGGGAGUCGGUGCCGGCAGGGAAGAUCUUCCUGGGACUGCCGGCCUCCAAGGACGCCGCAGGCACCGGGUUCGUGCCUGCCGGCGAGCUCACAUCGCGCGUGCUUCCGCUCAUCAAGGGCUCGCCCAAGUAUGGCGGCGUCAUGCUGUGGUCAAAGUUCUACGACGAUCGCACUGGAUACAGCUCUGCCAUCAAGAGCCAUGUGUGAUUCCCCUUAGUGUGCUUGGCCUAGUAUUUAUGUGUCGCUUGUCCUGUUUCAUUGUAUCAUGCGUUAAUUGUUUGAGAUGACAUCAUAUUGAUAGCUAGCAUACCGGUGUACAUGAGGAGAUAUGCAUCCAUUGUAAAUAUUUAUGAAGAAUUUAUAUUUCUUUCUAAGCUAAGUCCCAUAAUACAAUUGAGCACCAUGACAUACUUUUCUAGUAUAUCUGUAUGUUACUUUUAUGAUCACCCAGUUAUAAUCUUACAUUUGGCAACCUCAAUGUAUAACAUCCGGUAUGCAGGUUCACCAUAUUCUCAUGGUCUAAAGAUGCGAAUAAACGUUAACACAUCCUAUAUAUAGAUCUAAGUAGUUAAUCUCCACUCCUAAAUUGUCUCAAGAUGCACACAUACUACAUCACUACUCACGCCACCUCAUCAAAGGCCCACCUCACAUGCAUCACUACUCAUGCCACCUCAUCAAAGGCUCACCUCAACAUGCAUGGUGUUUUUUCAUUAAUAGUCGAUCAUCACUUCUCUAUUUAUCUCAACAUGCACAUAUCCUACCUCAUCAAAGACUCACCACAACAUGCAUUGAAAAACAUUUUUCCAUUAUAUUAUGCUACUUAUAUUCAUAUUUUUUUCCUUAAUCAACUGAAAUAUAUCACUCAGUCAAGAAUUACUUGUCUCGGAAAUGGAUGUAUCUAGACGUAUUUUUCGUUCUAGAUACACCCAUUUCUUUCUAUUUUUGCGACAAGUAAUUUGGGACGGAGUGAGUAUACAAUAUGUAUUAAUAAUUUUAGUUUGUAUAUUAUCAAUCCAAAUAUUGAUGUUUCAUAAAUCAAAUUCUAUUGAAAUAUUGCAGUGACUUCCGCAGCAACGCACGGGGUGUCAUCUAGUUAUAUGAAAAUACCAACAAUAAUAUAGAUAAUGUGAUCUCGCAGUAUAUCAUAAGUUGGGUCUAUCCAACACCAUUGUUCUGCUAACAAUGUCGGCAUCCUUGUCACAUUGAGAAUGCCCAUGAUCCAGAAAACAGGAUCAUCAACAAUACUUCAGCUAGUAUUAGAGGCUACACUAGGGAUCUAUUUGAUGUUUAUUUUUCAUCCAUGCAACUGAGUUUUCCACUGAAUCUCACAUUAAAGAAUUAUUGUGAUUAUAGCAUAGAAAUAUAAACUUAAUUAUGAACAUAAAUAAUAAAAAAUAACCUUUGCUAAUGCCUCUAGGUCAUAUUUCCAAUGGUGUGCGAUUAAAAAAAUAGGUUUGACUCGAUGUUUUGAGGCUGGUGGCUAGCUGGGCCGUAGGGGGCUGUUGCUUUGUGGUCCACAUGGGAUCGGAUCACGCUCUCGCUUCUCUCUCCUAACUUGCUUACAACACACAUUCUCUAUCCCAUUCCUUUUGUAAAAAAAAGUCAAUGCAACAACACACUCCCCCCUCCUCCUCCUCCUCCUCCUCUCUCUCUCUCUCUCUCUCCUCUCUUAACUUUUGGAUCCAACAUACACUCAUUUUGAGCCAUGGGACGGUGAACAAGAAACAAUCGUGUCAGAGAAAGGGAAUCGUCCACCCGGUCAACAACAACCUAUGGACAUGCAAAAUACUGUCCGCAUAGCACUGCAAGACUCUUGCAGGUUCGACCCACAUCCUUUCAUAUCAGCCCGACCACAUGCACAAUGUCUACAUCACGAGUGAACAACAACCUGUGGCGAAUGGCGUGGAUAGAGGGUGUACCCACAUCCAAGAGUAGAAAGUCCACUUUUUGCAAAAUAGGGAAAUGUGUGACUACUCCUGGGCUUACCCACACCACUUAUCCUAGCCAUUGUUGAACACUGAGAUGUGUGCGUAGUUAUGAGCCAUGCGAGUGUGUUUGUAGGUUGUGGGUGUUUCAAAACAUGGGUUUGACUCGAUGUUUUUAGCCGAGUGGCUAGCUAGGUUAUAGGGAGGUUGUUGCUUUGUGGCCAAAAUGAGGCCGGACCAGGCUCUCUCUUCUCUCUCCUAACUUGCUUGCAUCACACAUUCUCUCUCAUGCUCUUUGUCUGAAAAUGUCAAUUGAACAACAUGCAUACACUCUCGUUUUGAGCAACAUGCGGAUAAAGAAGAAACAAUCAUGUCAGAGAAGAGGAAUCUCCACUCGGUGAACAACACCUACGCACACGCAAAAUAUUGUUCGCAUAGCACCGCAAACCCCGACCAUUUUUUCGAUAAAUGGUGGUUUUUAUUCACUCAAAUGGAGCAUCAAGAAGACACAAACAUAACGAGCACACACCCGGCCUCUGCAUAGUUAGGAUGCACACAACCAAUACCAGUGAACGCACAUACACAAAAACACCCACAAAUAGCAAAGUCAUAUAAGAGCGAAGCUAUGCGUUGGCGAGAAAAAAAAUACCCCUGCGAUCAGAUCGCGAUUGACAAACUACAACAAUGACCAUAUCCGCACCAACCAACUCAUGACAUUACACGGACAACGAAGUUCUUCAGCAGCAACACCUUCAGAAAGGGAGUGACGCUCAACGUCAUCUUCACUGGAUCCAACCACUCAAGGCCAGAUUCUAGGUUUUCACCUUGAAGAAUCAGUCUAAGCAUGUCCGAAUAAUGCCUUCAACAAGGUAACGAUGGAAAAACAUCGCCAUUGCCAGGUCAGACCUAGGUUUUCACCCCGGAACUUAAGACCAGGUGCUCGAGAAGCACCACCAUCGAAGUCAAUCAUGUGUCGUCGCCACCGUUUUUUCGCCACCCCAACAGCUACCCGCGAUGUACCGCUACUGUUGCACAACCAUCCCUCUACGUUAAUUUAUUGUCUAUAACUUGCAUCUCCUCGCCAAAGUCAAGCACCGAAUCUGAAGAUCGGUGGCCACCGUAAUCCGCAGCAAGGUUGCCGUCGCAGGUCAGAGUAAUAAGGACCAACCCGACAACGAAGCACACCACCGCAGACUACCACUUUGCCAAAGAGAGCUCGCUGCACGGGCCCAUCGGCCUAAGGCUGACAUUGCCGGAGCUAGAGCACAAAAGGCAGAUCAUCAUCACCGACGCGCGCCUGCGGAGCCCGGUCGUUGCUAGAUCAGGAGCACAUAGCCGCCUGCAAGCGAACAAGGUUGUCUCAGCAUACUAAUCCCUUGGAUCUGGAAGCUGAGCAACUGAUCCAGCCGCCAGUGCUCCUUGCGCCGUGACGCCCACACAGCCGAUCUGCUAUGCAGGCCGCACCAGCCAACCACCUCGUCCGCCACCAAAGGAAAUGGAGGGAACAUCAAACCAUGUCGAACGGUGUAGGUAGGCUGUUGCUUUGUGGGACAGAGCCAUGAUUCACACAUAGAGGGGACAAGUUUGCUAAUGGAGGAGGCAAAGUUCUUAUGGACUGAUUUUUUUAACAACAACCAGUACUAAGGAAGAAAAACAAUUCAUUAGGGGGGGAGGGUCUAGCUCCCCUCGCCCCCUAAAUUUGUCCCUAUUUGUGGCCACAUGGGCCCGGACCAUGAUCUUUUCUCUCUCUCCUAACUUGUUUGCAAAACACACUCUUUCUCCCAUUCAUUAUGUAAAAAAACCAUUGCAACAACACACACUCUCUCUCUCCUACUGGGGGGGUUUGGGCUGAACAAGAAACAAUCANNNNNNNNNNNNNNNNNNNNNNNNNNNNNNNNNNNNNNNNNNNNNNNNNNNNNNNNNNNNNNNNNNNNNNNNNNNNNNNNNNNNNNNNNNNNNNNNNNNNNNNNNNNNNNNNNNNNNNNNNNNNNNNNNNNNNNNNNNNNNNNNNNNNNNNNNNNNNNNNNNNNNNNNNNNNNNNNNNNNNNNNNNNNNNNNNNNNNNNNNNNNNNNNNNNNNNNNNNNNNNNNNNNNNNNNNNNNNNNNNNNNNNNNNNNNNNNNNNNNNNNNNNNNNNNNNNNNNNNNNNNNCACACGUAAAAUAGAGCUCUGCUUCGGUACACCCCCCCCGCUCAACGUAUAAGGGCAUUUUGGGCAUACGGUGCUUAACGUAUCCCGCGCCGUAUACGGCGUGCCCAUACAGGAAGAGCCGAGCGCACGGCUCGAGCCGAUACGGCCGACUCGCAUCUACCCCCUCCCGUCGCGCGAAAAAAAGACCCACGACCUAGCGUUGAUCACGCGGCCCAUUCCCACGUCGCCCCGCCCCGCCCCGCCGAUCGCCGCCCUUGCCCGCCGAUCGCCGCCUUUCCCCGGCGAUCUAGCCACGAUCACGCUGCCAAUUCCAACGUCUCCCCGUCCAGCCGAUCGCCGACCAUUGUCCCCAUCUUCACCCGGGAUCUGGCCGCCGUGGACGUUGUUGGAGUCGCCGCCGUACGCGAUCUGGCCUCCGUGCAGGUCAUCGCGGUGACGUGGCCUACGCGGACGCUGUCGCCGUCCGCAACAGCGUGAUCAACCUCUCCGGGAACGUCCUCGCCGUCCGCAGCCAGGCCAGCCAGGCCGAAGUGCACGUACCUGAACGCCAGCGUCUAGGUUUGCCAUCUAAGCCGUCUAGUUUGUCAAAAAAAAUUGUAGCUGCAAAUAAUUAUCUGCACUCACUUGUUUGUUAUGAACUAUUCAUCGGUAUGACUGUAGUACAUUUAAUUUGAUUUUAAAUUGAUAGAUCAAUUUUUAUUUUAAAUGUUGUAGUAUUGGUAGUGAGGUCAUUCAGUGGAUAAAGAAACUAGAUUUACGGACGCGUUCUUGGAGUGAGUGGUAUGGUAGCGACAGUGUUGAUCGUACGAAUGGUAAUGAAAGUAAAAAUGUUGAUGAUAGCAGCGACAAUGAAUCCUGGUCGUCGUACGAUAAUUUACCUGAGGAGGAUUUUCAAAAGAAGGAAGAGGGUGCUUGUAGUGAAAACUUAAGUGACGUGUACAUUCAUUUCGUCGGACGAAGAACCAUAUGGGUACUUACAUGUGCAUAUGAUUUUUUUAUGUGCAGGAGGAUAUUGACGUCCAGAACGAGGAAAAUCAAGGUGUUGAAUCUUUCGCGGAUAACAUAAGUCUGGUUCGGUCCAAACUUUUAGAUGUCAUACAAUAAUAAAAACUUGUUAAUGACAACUUACACUUGCUUAUGUGUAAUAUUGUAGGCUAACUUCGAUGGUUGGAAUGGUGAUGAUGGCUAUGAGCAUGAGGAUGCAACUAAUAUGGACAUUGAGGAGGCUGAAAUCCAGCAACGUGCGCUGGAGACACAGUUGAAGGUUAUGGGUAUGACCUUUGCAUCACAAUGGGAGGCUUACACGUUCUACAAUAACUACGCCAAAGACUGUGGAUUCAGUAUCAGAAAAGAUAAGGUGAAACGAGGAAAAGGUCUUUCAACCACUAUUCGGUAUAGGCGGUACAUUUGCUCGAGGGCAGGAAAACGACUGAGUAAAUUUUUAAACCCGGAGGGCCGUACCCGCAGGCUAAGACCUGAGACUCGUUGCGAGUGUGGCGCAUAUUUAGUUGUGAAGUUGGACAAAGGACGUGGAGUUUGGUUCGUGGCAGCUUUUAUGGAUGAUCACAACCAUUUGUUGGCUAGAGCAGAUGAGGUGGUAUUUCUAUGGUCACAUAGAGUGAUGGGAAAUCACCAGAUAGCUGAGAUCUUGGCGAUGGAAGGAGCUGGGAUCAGAAAGCAUAUCAUCGUCGACAACUUCAUUAGCAGGUAUGGUUCGUAUGAUAAGUGUGGGUUUCUGAGACGAGACGUCUACAACCUAUGCUGCCGUGAAAAAAUGAAGUUGAUUUCGAAGGGUGAUGCUAACAUGGCAAUUGGGAUUAUGAGGAGCAGAAAGGAUAAGGAUCCAGACUUCUUCUUUGAGUACGUGCUCGAUAAGGAGGGCUGUUUAAAGAGCAUGUUGUGGUGCGAUGCACAGUCGCGGCGGGACUAUCAGUUGUAUGGAGAUGUGACUAUGUUUGACAGCACGUAUAAGAUGAACAGAUACGGUAUGCCGUUCAUCCCCUUUGUUGGUGUAAAUAAUCACCGUUGCACCACAGUGUUUGGUUGUGCCAUUGUGUCCGACGAGACCGAAGCGACGUACGUGUGGCUGCUCCAGACAUUCCUGAAGGCCAAUUGUCAGAAGAAGCCAAGGUCAAUCAUCACAGAUGGAGACGCUGCAAUGAUACGAGCUAUUCGGUUGGUUUUGGUUGAUGUGUUGCACCGUCUCUGCUCAUGGCACGUGGGAAAAAAUAUGCAGAAGCACCUUAAUUACAAUCACUAAAUGAGUUCAGGGCACUCUUGUACUACUCCACCUUUCCGGCCAACUUUGAGGCGAGAUGGCACGCUUUUGUCCUUCAAUGAAAGACUGAUAAAACAGAAGAGUGGCUGCGUAGGAUAUACAGGAAGAGGAGUCUGUGGGCAACAUCAUAUCUGUCAGAUGGUUUUUUUCUGGGUAUGCGCAGUAAUCAGAGAAGUGAAAGCCUUAACUCUUGUCUUCACCUUCACCUGGACGACGGUAUGACUAUUGUUGAUCUAGUUGUGCAUUAUGAGAAUUGCAUAGUUCAACUACGUCAGAACGAGGCGCAUGAUGACUGUGUUUCUAAUCAGUCAUUGCCACCAUCAGUCACAGAAUAUAAGGACAUUGAGAAGCAUGCUGCCAAAGUAUUCACUCAUUCCAAUUUUUAUAUUUUUCAACAAGAUCUGAAGAACAUGGGAGAGCUUGAGAUUUUUGAGAUGCUAGUUGGAGUUGACUGUCACACCUUCAUCGUGACAUGGAGAAAUAACUGCAAAUUUCAGUUCAGCGUGAAUUAUGGAGCUGAAAACUCUGGCAAUACUAUAGACUGUAGUUGUGGACGAAUGCUUCGGAAAGGGUUGCCUUGCAAACACAUUCUAUAUGUGUUGGUUCAUCUGAAAAUAUCUGAAAUACCUAAGUGUUGCAUCCUUAAGAGGAUGUCGAAAGUUGCGAGAGGUGGGCUGCCUGCACAGCGGAAGAGUGACAUGUUUGGCUGGGGUGGACAGGGGCAGAGCAGCGUGCUCGCUAUAGUCAACUCAGUAUAACAGGAGCAGAAGCUUUCCAUGUUGCAUCAAAUGAUCCAUUCGUCUUUGAUGAGAUGAUGCAGUGUCUACAUAAUAUAAUAGCUAAGAAAAAGGUCCCUGAUGAUGAUGCUGUUGGUAGUAGAAGGAAUGUGCAUGAGGAGCCACGUGAGCCGGAACAACAUGUUGAUGUCAUAGGUGAUCCCGUAAAAGUUUCCACGAAGGGCACCCCUAAACAGAGCAAGACAGGGCGGGCAAAGAAAGAUCCAAAUGUUACAAAAAAUGGAAGACCAAAAUCAUUUUCUGAAAGAAAACCCGGUCCUCUUUGUGGCAUAUGUCGCGAAGAGGGCCAUAGACGGCAAACGUGCCCCCAGAAUGAAAAGUAAGUUUUACAUUUUUAAUUAUUUUUUGUUUCACUCUUUACAAUUGUCUGAUGAGUUGUUUACAAUUUGUUAUGUAGGAACCGGUUAUGAAGAUGAAGUAGAGCUCUAAAUCAAUGGAAGGCAUUGGGACAGAGUUCAAGUAGCAUGUCGUUGUUGCUACACGUACUAUAUUUGCAGACAAUUUUUUUAUGUUUUAUUAUCGCUUUUGUGUGAGACUAAACAUUUAAAUGCGUGUCCAACUAUCAUUGGUACUGUUUUGUGAGACGGAAUGUUAUAAGUGUGGGCAACUAAGUGUGGGCAACUAGUGUUAUUUACGUCUGUGAUGUUAUACGUACUGUUGUUGUUUGUAUUCACGGCGGUCAUUUUUUCUAAUAAAAAAUACCCCCGCUGUCCUGAGUUGGCGCCACCAAGGCACAGUGGCGCGAUGUGGACAAAACGUGCACAUGAUCCCAGAACAAUUUUGGUGGCAGCAGCGGCGCUGGAUCCGAUGAUGAUCCACCUGGCAGCAUGAUUGGCGCACCAUCCCACGAAUAUUCCAGCCCAGCCCGUGCGGUGGCCGACAGCCGAGGCAGUGGCGGGCCCGCGCAGUCCAGCUAGUGCGGUCCGGCAUGAUUCGCCGUGCGCGACGCGCGUGUCUGGUGGCCCAGGCGCCGACCGAGCGACAGCCGCGGGCCCGGUCGCAGACGUCUCGUCCCGCCCGACCGAGCGGACAUGGUAUUCCGAUGGUUAAAGAUUCAAGUCUUAGUGGCAAAGGGGGACAUCUUUGGCCUGCAACCGUUUCCACUUUACGGCCCACAGCUUGUGUUCUUCGGUAUUAAUUCGGUUUCUGUUUGUUUGGCUUGUCUCGUGCACCACCUGAAUUGAAUCAUAGUAAUGGGACUUUGGUAAUCCAGUGAUGAAGUCAAUGCUGAUAAUGGAAACACCUCAUGGAUAGUGACCACCCCAUCUAAAAUAUUUCCGUUUUUCAUAAAUGCAGUCUGACUCUUACUCACCACCUUAUCUGCAACUCUCUCAAGCCUAUUUGUCAGUACUUUAGUCACAAUUUUCUAACAAACAUAAUAUAAACAUAUUGGCCGAUAUUGCUUGAUAGUUGCAGCUACCUCCCUACGGCGAUUCAUAACUAGAAGAACUCGUUGGCACAACCGGACCUUAUUAAAGGCCUCGGCCGUCUGAUCAACUGAAAGAUCUUAUCUUGGAGUUCUAGUAUGGGUCGUCGGCCCUUUCUCCUCCAGAAGAGGGCGGCUCCCUGGAUUGAACACAUAAAGUAGUGCCAAGAUCUCCUCUAUGCGAGAGAGAAGUUCUCAGAAAUGAUGACCCAUCAACCUACUAGCAAUAGGGGAGAAAACUUAGCAUGUCGCAACAAAAGCGUCGAUUCGAGGCGCCAGCAAAACACCGCCGUCUGUUCCUAAAACAAAACCCCUUAGCGCCCCGGGACGGGAGUGGGGGACGGCCCUACGCAGACAGCAGCAGCACCGGCUCUACGAAGUCCGAAUCGAAUCUUUUGGUUGGCUUUCCCGUGAAUAAGAAUUGUUGGGCGCGGCGAAGCGAGCGCUUCUAGCUGUUUCGCUUGCUUCUUUCUUAUUGUGGCGGGCAAAUUUCCAAUAAAAUAUAAUAUCUGGGAUUACCAAUCAGCAAAGACAAGAUCUCUUCUAAGUACAAGCUAUGGCGGAGCCGUUUACCAAUGCACCCAGUUCUCCUCAUAUUUGAUUCUUUUUUUGGUAUCAUUGGUUCCACAUACGUCUUUUGGGCGAGCUUUCUUCACUGUCAUCAAAACCAACGCUCAAACCGAAGCUUUCCGAGCAGUUGUUUAUUUCUCACUUGCUUUAAUGCGAGGGCAGGGUAUCUACUCGCUUUCUUGCCUUAUCACGAGCUAUUGAGAACGGAUCUAAGGGCAUCCCUACCUACAAUCCUUCCUUGGUGCCCCAUUCCUAUCUUCUUUUCCAGAUCCUUUUUUUACAUUGAGCAGGGCCUUUAUCUCCCUAGCUAAGGUUGGUACAAUCCCUCUAUAAGUAUUUGUUAGUGGGCCAAACUACCCAUAAAAAAGAAGAGAGAGAGCUGUAAGAGCGGUAAAAGCAAGCUCGGUGGCCCGGUUUCACUACAGGUUGAUAUAUCCUUUUGAAAGAAAAGUCUGGUUGUGAGACAUCUUCCUCUUAGUGCUACAAAUGGCUUCUUCCUUAGUUCUUUAUAGCUCUUUCACCUCUUUUAGACUCUCUCCAAUGUUUAGUGCGGGGAACUCUACACUAUUGUACUUAGAUGCUAUUCCUUCAAGAAAGUAUCGGAAAGCAAAAAGGGACUCGUUCAGGCUUUGGUAUAAACAUAAAUCCCAUAAUAGAGGGAUCGAUCAUCACAUUCUGCUUUGUUAAGAAAGAAGGAUAACCUAGAUGGAUAAAGGUGGAAUGGACUACGUGCAAUCCCAUCCAUGGAAAUAUUUUAUUUACUGUAUAAAUAUGUAUGAUGUGCUGCUAGGAAAUCCACCAUCGCUUGCCACCAACCCAUACUAUUCCUCUAUAUCGAAUGACCCCAUUAUGCAAUGAAUAUUUGCUAUUCUUGUGAGGCUUUUUCAACCUAUAAGCAGACCUUUGUAUACACCCUUGUAACUGAACUAGCUAUUCACAAAGAAAGGUCUAUGGCACUGCACCGGCGAGGGAAAGGGAAGCUGAUGAGAGGUAAGGGAAAAGUCCAUUUAAUGAAUAGGUUCACUACAGACUGUACUAUCUCUAGACCCCCUCUCUAUACUCCCUCAUAAUAUAUGGAUCCCCCGCAAUUGGGAUUUAGAGUCCCAUGCGUGAAACUAAAGAGGAUUUUCAGUCCUCUGCUCUACCAGCCAGAACCUAGAAGGACACUUCACACCCGAUUUGACACAGCUAGACUGGAAACACUGCUUGUCAAGAGCACAGACCCCAGUAUAGAAUACUUUUUUGAGUAUGUUGGUAAGGUCCGCUAAUUGAACCGUCCGUCUUCAUCUUAAUCCAUUCGUUUCCCCGUGGUCAACACACAAUAGAAUAUGUUUGUUUUUGAUCGGAUUGAGACAAAAGUACCAUUUUUAGGAUGUUCGCCGAUUCUUCCUCUUCUUUCUCUCAUAAAACUGGAGAUAAGGUUGAGUAGAGAAAGGUGGGUCAUUGUCCCAACGUAGUAGUAUUUUUGUUUUGUUUUCAGCUGAUCUAUAUCAAAAUAAUAGAAUAAAUAAAGGCAAAGGAUUUGGUUCAGUCGUCAAGUACAGAUUUCCUUUACCCAGAGUUGGGAAAAAGGUAGCUUUAGCCAUUGUGGGUAGAAGCUAGUCGCCAGAAGCGAAGCAGCGAUCUUCCGGGCCGGAAAGGUUCUAUUUUUCUGACGCGUAAGCUACCGCAAAAUUGCCCUUCUGACUUCUUCUCUUGUCUGUCCUUUACGCAAAGCGAUCUAUGGUCUCAACAAGCCCCGAUAGCGUCGGUUUUUGAAGUUCAGGAUGCCACUUGGCUUUCGCGGGCUGGUGCAACGAUCCCGAGGGGGAUUUCUGGCGAUCUGUUUCCCUCGGAUCAUCGGCCCAUUAACGACGCGCGUCGGGCGCGUGGGCCGGCCCUUUAAGGUCGCUUCGUGUGAGGCUAGGGACGCUGGCGCAUUGCGGCGACUAGGUUUAGUCCCACCUCUCCCGUCGAGAGACGCCACGACCGGUUUAUAUACCCACGUCGUCGCCGUUCUCACAAGCUCACUACAAACCACUACAAUGAAUGCCCUGUUGUACGCCGUGGCCAUGCCACUCGGCGGCCGAAAGGCCGUCCCGAAGGCGUUCUAGUAAAGUCUCCAUGUGCGCGCCCGACCACUCCUGGGCCUUUUUUUAAAUAUGUUUUUUUUUCACAUAGAUUAUUAUUUUUAUAUCUUUAACAGUCGAGAAAAGUCAUGACAGCAGUAACACAUUCAUACAAAUAUAUCAUAUUUCACACAUAACAAUUAAAAUGUCAUGUCUCAUAACCCUUAACAAAGUAGCAUAACGAAUAAACUGGAAGUGCCAUGUCUCAUAUCCUUUAACAAAGUAGCAUAACAAAUAAACUGAAAGUGCCAUGUCGCAUUACAAUCGAACAAAGUGAUAAGUACCCAACAACGGCAGGGAAACCUUCUACGGGACUAAAACCCUACCCAUGCUAAUACCUAUUCCUUCUCCAUGAUUUUAACAAUUUUCAUCUUGACCUUCUCUAAUGUGUUCACCUCCGAAAAAAUAAUUUCCGCGACAAUACGUGGCCUUGAUGCAUUAAUCUCUUCCUGGUCAAAUUCAUAUGUCCAUCGAUCUUCGUCCCAGUGUUCUAUGCACCACAUCACAAAAGGUCCACAAGACACUCUGCAAUAAACACGUGGGAUCAGCUUAGGACGUAGCAUGCACUUGCUUGUACUAGUUGUAUGCAGUAUGAACUUACCCAUCUUUUUGUCUCAACAUUUCGUACUCAUUUAUUGGCCACGAUGAGACAUCUGGAUAUUUUUUUGCUUCAAGAGUUGAGUUGGCCUCCAUAAUAUCCUUAGAAAUUUCAGCUCUCUGAAACAAAUUAACGAAACCAGAAUAUAUAUUUGUUCCAAUAUAAACCAGAAUAAUGUAUGUCGCAAUAUAAACCAGAAUAAUGCAUGACCCAAUUUUUUUAAUGUGAGUGCGAAAAUUAUAGCGUACCAGUAUGGCAAUCAUAUUGCGAAUUUUUUGGCUAAUUGCACCAUUAGAAUUUGAGUCAAGAACUUGAAACUCCUCCUUGACGGUGUGCAUCACUAUGGUUAUCCAAUGAUUCUCGUUAACGUGCAUAGGAAAAUACGCCUACAUAACAACCAAAUGAUGUUAGUGCAAUUAAAAACUAUUGACUAAGAAAAACUAAUAAAUAUGAAAGCAAUACCUUGUCCCGUGCGAAAUACUCAUCCAUUACUCUCGUGAGGACUUUAUUUUCUUUGUAAGCUUCUCUGAGUUUAUAUUAUUUACUGACUUGGUCUUUCCCCUUGCCCUAUUCAACAUAAAUUUGGGGAACCACGUUGUUGAUAUGUGACGAUCAGCAAAACCACGGUGUUGUAGGUGCUUACAAUAUGCAUUGAUGAUCUGCAUACAUUAGUAUAAAAUUUCUAUCAACUUCUAAAGUACAAAUGAGGGUUCUAUUAAAAACAAAUCAUACUUACAUCGCCAUUCAACCAUUUAAACAUGAGGACAUCAUGAAGCAUAGCUGGCGUGCAUAUGUCCCCAUCUGGUGGUGGCACAUUAACCACGGUUCAGUGCACAUGCUUCUUUGACGAUGCAAGAGUCUCAACAAAAACUGUGGCUGCCUCUAUGUGAUCCGGAGUCAUAUUAAGAGAACUUGCCAGAAUUGAAUGCGGUGACGAUGCAAACAGAUCUAAAGCAAUGCAGUUACGGUCAGUUAAAUAAUAAAAGAAAUUACAUAAGGCAUGAAUGAAUAAUAAAGUAGUAUUUGACUUACUUUUUUAACACGUUUCUUGCGGGUAAUGAGAAGGUCGUAGGGGGAUUGACAAUAUUUCGACGCAUUUCGUUUGCGUUUACCUUCAUUGUCCCGACUGCCAUAACCAUUAGCUAUAUUGCUCUUUGCCGGGAAACUCUCGAACGUUCCUUCGGACUUUGUUGGUGACAAACCACCCAUAGACUCACCAGAAAUAUCAGCAUUCUGCGGGGUUCGGGACAUAGACGGAAAGUCUUUUGUCCAUACAGUUGAUGCCGAAGAUGGAGAGUUUCCAUUAUCGUCUAUAAUGAAAGGAUCAGUAGCUUCACCUUUACCCGGUGUCGUCGCCAGAGCACCGUGUCAUCAACGGGCACGGAGGUAUCAUUCAUACCCAUGAAAGAUGUUCCUAUCUUUACGUCGGUAGGUGAUUCAACAUCUGACCAAUAUUUUGACUUGUACUUGCCAUUCUGCAUCCCAACUCCUUCACCUACAUCAUCAAAUUCGUCAAUGUUGUCCCUCUUAUUGGGUUUGUACAUCACACCUUCCGUGUUCAACCUUUCCAUUACCAUCUACAAACACAAAUGAAACACGAUAAGUAGUUGAAUAAUUAAAGCACAUUCAAUACAACUUCUAAAUUACCUGUGCACAUCUUUCGGGAAUAUUGAGAACCUCCUUGUGAAGCAGCUUUAUGUAUGUCAUCACACGGUCCAUACUAUAAUUCAUGUUCGAUGAAACUGCCGACGUGCUUGGCUUUCUACUCCCGCCACCACCUUUCCGUUUAGUUUUGUUCGUUUCUUCCUCUGGGACAGUCCCUUCACGUGCAACCUUAGCACGUCUGUACUCUUCGCUAAUGCAGUUUUCAAUCUGUACAACAAACAAUAAAAUGAAUUAAAUAACGAAUAUACUUAAUUACUAUGUGGAACAAAUAAGGACUAUACUUAUUGACUUACAUUGCCAGUACCCCGCCCGUGUAUGUUGUCAUAGUCGUCUCGCUUUUUCUCUUCCGUUUCUGGCCAGUUAAGCAUUAGUGGGUAUUCACGAGACAAAGGAUCAAAUGCAUCCAGACCAAUUGGCUCAAGUUUUUCCCAGUAUAUAUACUGCAUGAUAGUAAACACAAUUAGUCAGACACAUAUAUCACAUAAAAAAUAUAUGUACAUACAACUAUUACGAAAUGACUUGUAACUGAAGAGCUAAGUUCCCGAUAGGCCAAUGGAAUUUUUCAAGAUCUUCGACCGUUUUUUUAAUAGCAUCCAUGCACACCCCCAACGUGAAAUCGUUCCAAUUGUAUGACUUGAUAGCGUUGACGUCCUCCACCAUUUUGUAAUAAUGAUAAGGAAAAAACUUGGUGGAUUGUGGUGCUAAGACUGUACCCAUAUGAACCAGUACGACCCUUCUCACAAAAUCAUCAUCAUAUGACUGACUAUCAACAAUAUUUUUUAUCAAGUCAUCGAUGAGGAUUAGGCCUGUUCUUUUGUCUAGAAACCGAUUCGGAACAAUUUUUUUGGCAUCUAGUUGUACUGUUGCUAUCAUGCUAAUCACAUCAUCACCCUUGUUACGUAGCCCGAAUAUGUCAUAAACAUCUUCAUUAAGCAUAGUGAUGCCGUCAGUAUUUGGCCGAAUAAUAAAUCGCUUUCUACUAGUAUCAUACGAUUGUAAUCAUAAAUUCCAAUACAUUUUUUCUCAUUUUCACCGAAGGAAUUCUCAACAUACUGUCCAAAUUUGUGCCACGUAGCCUCAUGCGCUGUCUGGGUGUGAAUUUUCCCACCAAUUCGCACUACUUCUCAACCGAGCAGUACACAUCUCCGUAUUCUUGCAUUCUAAAUAACUCAACCGAGCAGUACACAUCUCCGUAUUCUUGCAUUCUAAAUAAGAUGAACGUUAUUUGACUAGUUACGAGAUUUAGAAAACAUUACACGUGGUUUAAUACCAUAUCUUCCGGCGACGCGAGGUGCACCGGCAGCCCCCGUUGGCUAUCCCCACCCGGUGUGGGUUAGUCGUGGCAGCCGCGUGCCCUCUGCCCACACCACCGCGGUGGCCGAUGACCCGCCCUAGGGUUCUGGGUGUGGGCGACUUUGCCGAGACGGCCCGGCCGGGCCGAGAUCCAAGUCGCACGCGUAGAUGCCAGAGUGUAUGGCCGUCGUGAGGGCGGCAGGGAAGGGAGUUGGGACGGCCACGGCGGUGCGACCGUGGGAUCGGGGUGAGGUCAUGCCUGGAGGCGCCGAGGUUAGGCGGUCGUGGGGCGAGGUAAUGGCGGCGUGGUUUCCAUGCCCAUGCACGCACGUACGGCGUCAUAGACGUGGUCACGCCAUAGUGGGCCUAUUGGCCCGUCCCGUAAAACUUCCGCCGGCUGGCCCAUGAUGCAUUUAUUGAAAACAAAUAAAUGCAUUUUACUUUAACAUCUCUAGUUUAAUACCACAUCGCUAAGCCGGCGCGCCGUUGACUCCUUUAUAUACUUUUGUUUUUUGACAUGAACAAACAUCUGUGUUUCUGGGACUCUAUUUGGAGGAUAUGCAGGAUCGAUGUGAGACUUCACCUGCUCAGAGCUUGUGAAGGUUCACAAGGAUCAUGCAUAUUCUUCAAAAAGAGAGCCAUUAUCUCCAAUGUUUUUUUAACGACAGAAAAUAUUAAUGCGUUUUUUUGCUGAUAGAAAAUAUUAAUGCGUUUUUUCUAACUCAACCAUUCAAAUUUUUCGACACCGUACGAAUUUCUUAGGGUUUUCCCCGUGAAACACACCGAAAACACUGACCGGGCGUGACGCAACGUGCGUUUGGUGCCAGAAUUCGUUCUAAUCUUGCAUGGGGUCCUACGAUGGGCAUGCCCACUUCCUGCCAAAAUUGGGUGACAUUUCAUGCAUGCCACCUCGUACCACCUAUGCAACCAGCACUGAUCGGAUAUGAAGGAGGUCAGCUCCGUAGUGCAUUCUCUUUUCUGACUCAGCCGGCGGACCCCAAACUUUUUGCACACGCCCGCAUCACCAGGGCCAUCAUGCAUCAUGCGUGCAAGUUUUCAUAAUUUUUCGACACCGUACGAAUUUCUUAAAGUUUUCCCAUUGAAACGCACCGAAAACACUGACCGGGCGUGACGCAACGUGCGUUUGGUGCCCGAAUUCGUUCUAAUCUUGCGUGGGAUCCUAUGAUGGGCAUGCCCACUGCCUGCCAAAAUUGAGGGACAUUUCAUACAUGCCACCUCGUACCACCUAUGCAGCCAGCACUGAUCAGAUAUGAAGGAGGUCAGCUCCGUAGUGCGUUUUCUUUUCUGACUCAGCCGGUGGACCCCAAACUUUUUGCACACGCCCGCAUCUCCAGGGCCAUCAUGCGUGCAAGUUUUCAUAAUUUUUCGACACCGUAUGAAUUUCAUAGGGUUUUCGGAAUAAUUAUUAAACAUUUCAUAAAUUAUUAGUUAUAACAAAAAACUCAUUUUUUUAAUAAACUGAAAUAUGUUAGUUCUUACUUAUAAAUUAUAAAAAAACUCAUUAUUAUUUUUGACACAAAUAACAAUAGUAAAGUUGCCAUAUGUAUAAUUUAAAUACUAAAUAAAUUCUUGAUUAAAUAUUUUUUUAAUUAUGGAACAUUUUUUAACUAAUAAAUUAAAUAAUCAACAUUACAUAAAUAUGAAAAAUAGAAUUACUAAUAUAAUAUAACUACUUCAUAAAUUCUAUAUUAAGUAGUGUUUUUCAAUAAUUGUGAAACAUUUAUUAAACGAUAACGAAAGGCAUAAGUAACUAAAAAACUUAAGACUAUUUUUGACACAAAAAACUAAAAAAAAG
rnacentral:lncRNA from 1 species